GAUGUCGUGUCAGUAGUAGUUACUGACUUUAAAAUGAGCAGAGUGCAAUUUGUUUCAUACUUAUUUAUUAAGUGUUUGGUUUUCUCCCAGUGUAACUAACCUAUAUUUUUUGAUACAUUAAACUAGAAAGGUUGACAAAACUAUUAAAAUUUAUCUCUAUGGGGAAAUUUUUUACAUCUUCUUGGACAUCAUUUGGAAUUGACUAUGCAAUCCCAUGAAUCACCUUUAUGCGAUAUUAUUAAUUGAGGAAGGU
rnacentral:lncRNA from 1 species